rnacentral:lncRNA from 1 species
CCAAUUCAAUUGCUUGAUCAAACACAAACACGUUAAAUUGUGUAUUUACACACGAGUCCUCUUUAUAUCUUGUUUUUGUUUUCUGCAACACCUGUUAUUCCAAACGCAUGAAACUUUUAUAUAUAUAGUAGAAAUUAUCUGAAGGGAGCAUAUAAAAUGUAAUGAAGGGCUUUGAAGGAAGAAAAUUAUAAUGAGCAUAGGAAAUAAAAACAAAAAUUUAUAUACUUAUCGAAUCCCCAUAAUAUAAGGGAAGCUCUUAUAAUUUAGUGGAAGGCUAGUUCAAAAACCGCUAGGUUCGAACAUGAUUAUGAGAUGACAAAUAUGCAAAUAGUAACGAUUUUGGUUACUACAUGUUUAUAUGUGCGCAUUAGGGACAACAAAUAUGAGAAUAUCGAGUCGUGUAAAAAGAAAUACGCGACAUGAUGCAUAUUUAAUUAUACCUGGACUAGUUUGCUCUCUCUACAUGGCACAAUGGAUAUUAUGUUAGGUUGCCAGAGCAUCAAAUUAUGUGUGAAUCUUUCAGGAUACAUGGAAGGAUUUUCAAUGCAUAGGUCCAGUUCUCGAGUUGGUGGAACAAUAAUUUCUCUUGGAUCUUCAUAAAUAAGAAUACUCCGAUCCUGCAUAAAUUGUAAAAAGUCCAAACCAAUUGAAGUCCAAUUCAAGCAAAAUUGAAGGGAAGAGCAAUUGCACGGAAAUAUGAAUCCUAUUAUUACACCGGUGAAAGAAAAAAGAAAUUACCUUCCUGCAACGAGUUACUAAUAUCAAGCCGUCAGAAUAGUUGAACUUUU